AUGCAGUCGAGGGGCAGCAUGGUCUUAGCUUGCUAAGGCCGAUGGCGACCGGCGCACGGGUGAGUAACACGUAUCCAACCUGCCGUCUACUCUUGGACAGCCUUCUGAAAGGAAGAUUAAUACAAGAUGGCAUCAUGAGUCCACAUGUUCACAUGAUUAAAGGUAUUCCGGUAGACGAUGGGGAUGCGUUCCAUUAGAUAGUAGGCGGGGUAACGGCCCACCUAGUCUUCGAUGGAUAGGGGUUCUGAGAGGAAGGUCCCCCACAUUGGAACUGAGACACGGUCCAAACUCCUACGGGAGGCAGCAGUGAGGAAUAUUGGUCAAUGGGCGAGAGCCUGAACCAGCCAAGUAGCGUGAAGGAUGACUGCCCUAUGGGUUGUAAACUUCUUUUAUAAAGGAAUAAAGUCGGGUAUGCAUACCCGUUUGCAUGUACUUUAUGAAUAAGGAUCGGCUAACUCCGUGCCAGCAGCCGCGGUAAUACGGAGGAUCCGAGCGUUAUCCGGAUUUAUUGGGUUUAAAGGGAGCGUAGAUGGAUGUUUAAGUCAGUUGUGAAAGUUUGCGGCUCAACCGUAAAAUUGCAGUUGAUACUGGAUAUCUUGAGUGCAGUUGAGGCAGGCGGAAUUCGUGGUGUAGCGGUGAAAUGCUUAGAUAUCACGAAGAACUCCGAUUGCGAAGGCAGCCUGCUAAGCUGCAACUGACAUUGAGGCUCGAAAGUGUGGGUAUCAAACAGGAUUAGAUACCCUGGUAGUCCACACGGUAAACGAUGAAUACUCGCUGUUUGCGAUAUACUGCAAGCGGCCAAGCGAAAGCGUUAAGUAUUCCACCUGGGGAGUACGCCGGCAACGGUGAAACUCAAAGGAAUUGACGGGGGCCCGCACAAGCGGAGGAACAUGUGGUUUAAUUCGAUGAUACGCGAGGAACCUUACCCGGGCUUAAAUUGCAGAUGAAUUACGGUGAAAGCCGUAAGCCGCAAGGCAUCUGUGAAGGUGCUGCAUGGUUGUCGUCAGCUCGUGCCGUGAGGUGUCGGCUUAAGUGCCAUAACGAGCGCAACCCUUGUUGUCAGUUACUAACAGGUUCUGCUGAGGACUCUGACAAGACUGCCAUCGUAAGAUGUGAGGAAGGUGGGGAUGACGUCAAAUCAGCACGGCCCUUACGUCCGGGGCUACACACGUGUUACAAUGGGGGGUACAGAGGGCCGCUACCACGCGAGUGGAUGCCAAUCCCCAAAACCUCUCUCAGUUCGGACUGGAGUCUGCAACCCGACUCCACGAAGCUGGAUUCGCUAGUAAUCGCGCAUCAGCCACGGCGCGGUGAAUACGUUCCCGGGCCUUGUACACACCGCCCGUCAAGCCAUGGGAGCCGGGGGUACCUGAAGUGCGUAACCGCGAGGAGCGCCC
rnacentral:rRNA from 1 species